ensembl:lncRNA
UCUGCAAAGGAAUAUCUGUUCUAUGGGAAUUAUGGACUGAAGGAGUGCUCUUUCUGCACUGUUUGAGGAUUACAAAAGACUGUGAUCUAAAAAUAACGCUGACUGAAGGAAUAUAACUGAACUCUACUAUUUCCAAAGGAUUAACACCAGAAUGGAUUAACAAAGUUUUUACUGGCCCAAAGAACAAAAAUGGAUACAAGCAGAUCUAAAUCUGGACCGAACCCCCUCCACCUCCUCCCUGGAGCAGAGCCCCAGCGGGGCAUCGGUCUUCAGACCAAAGAACUACAGACUCUUCACAACCUGCUCAAACUCUUGGUACAGGACCUCACCACACGGGUCAAGAAAGUUUCUGUCUCAUUUCUACUCUGAAGAUCACCUUCUCCUGCUCAAAUUGCUGACAAAUGUUUCUGCUGCUCUAAAGUCUGGUCUCCAGAACUUCCUAUAAACUCUCAAAGUGUCUUCUGCUGCAGGUUGCUUUGUAGAACUGUUACAGAAAACCUCACUAAACCACAUGGAGGUGCCUCAAGAUAGUCGUCCAAAUGAAACCGUACAAAAACCAAACUAGCACAACCCAAACACUAAAGUCUCCUGCAGCCUACCAGAGAACCUCUGAGAACAGAGAAUCAGGACAGGAACUCUUACCUUCUGG